CUACGGGAUGCUGCAGUGGGGAAUAUUGCACAAUGGGGGGAACCCUGAUGCAGCAACGCCGCGUGGAGGAUGACGCAUUUCGGUGUGUAAACUCCUUUUAUAUAGGAAGAUAAUGACGGUACUAUAUGAAUAAGCACCGGCUAACUCCGUGCCAGCAGCCGCGGUAAUACGGAGGGUGCAAGCGUUACUCGGAAUCACUGGGCGUAAAGCGCGCGCAGGCGGCCUUUUAAGUUGGAUGUGAAAGCCUACGGCUUAACCGUAGAACUGCAUCCAAAACUACUAGGCUAGAGUCUGGGAGGGGAAGAUGGAAUUAGUUGUGUAGGGGUAAAAUCCGUAGAGAUAACUAGGAAUACCAAAAGCGAAGGCAAUCUUCUGGAACAGUACUGACGCUGAGGCGCGAAAGCGUGGGGAGCAAACAGGAUUAGAUACCCCAGUAGUC
rnacentral:rRNA from 1 species